rnacentral:rRNA from 1 species
UACGUAGGGUGCGAGCGUUAAUCGGAAUUACUGGGCGUAAAGCGUGCGCAGGCGGUUUUGUAAGCCAGAUGUGAAAUCCCCGGGCUUAACCUGGGAAUGGCAUUUGGGACUGCAAGGCUUGAGUGCGGCAGAGGGGGAUGGAAUUCCGCGUGUAGCAGUGAAAUGCGUAGAUAUGCGGAGGAACACCGAUGGCGAAGGCAAUCCCCUGGACCUGUACUGACGCUCAUGCACGAAAGCGUGGGGAGCAAACAGG